rnacentral:rRNA from 1 species
CACGUAGGCGGACUGGAAAGUUGGAGGUGAAAUCCCAGGGCUCAACCUUGGAACUGCCCUCAAAACUAUCAGUCUGGAGUUCGAGAGAGGUGAGUGGAAUUCCGAGUGUAGAGGUGAAAUUCGUAGAUAUUCGGAGGAACACCAGUGGCGAAGGCGGCUCACUGGCUCGAUACUGACGCUGAGGUGCGAAAGUGUGGGGGAGCAAACA